CUCCUUUGAAAUAUUAUUAUUACACUGAAAGUUGGAAAAAAGCUAAACAUCCAUCAGAGGAGGUUGAUUACAUAAAUUAUGAAAGAUCCAUAUUUUUUAAUUCUAUGAAGCCAUAAAAUGAUAAUACUGAUAUGUAUCAUUGAACCCACCACUGAUUGUUUGAUAAAAAUUUCAGAUACCAAGAAUUACAUAUAAAUUAGAGUUGGUUUUGUAAUAUACAGCAUAGAAAUACAUACUUUUCUAUUAUUAAAUAUUUACUGAUUUCUGAAUACUUACACAUGUAUAAGAUAGGUAUUUAGAAAGAUUAAAGAGGGCAUACAGCACACAGACGUUUCUCAUUCCUAUCUCCCAUCUCCUUUCCCAGAGACAGUUUCUAAAACAAAACUGAGGAAAAUACUAACAUCAUUCGUCUAAUAAGAGCAAUGAGGUAUGUAAUACUAAUGAAUCUUAAAACAUAUCAUAUAAAAAACACUAGAUAACUGGACUAAGUAGUGCAAACGUGAAUGUCUAUCUAAAACACACACGUCGCACACACACGAUAAUGAAUGGAAGACGUCCUAGCACAUGUUUACAAACUGUUUGUGUGUUGCCGUCCUACACACCAGACGCAAAGCGCUGAAAACAACAAGCCUGUUCACAAUAGCACCAGGAACGUACAGUACACAGGAAUCAUCUGCAGGUGAUUUGUGACAACUGUAGGCAGAACAGUAAAAGCGAGAGAUACAAUGGAUGGUUUGAAAAAUCAGAGACACUCUUCUUCCUUAUCGAAUUGCAAGAUUAACGUUGUACUACGCAGACAAAGGUGUGUUCAAGAUUUGGAUCGUAAGCGAGUUCACUGAAAACUAGCGGAGGGGAAGGGCAAAUACUGGAAGGGAAUCCCCGGUGUGACCAGGCCAGAAACACCUCUUUUACAGCAUGGGAUCUGUGCAGGUACUCGGACGCUCCCCGCAGGGCCGCCCGGGCCGGUUUCAGGCGGGCUUGCGGCCCCAAUCACUGCUCCUGUUCGCGGGGACAGGCAGGGGCUGACUGGGAGGACGUCUUGGCAAAUACUGGAAGGGAAUCCCCGGUGUGACCAGGCCAGAAACACCUCUUUCACAGCAUGGGAUCUGUGCAGGUACUCGGACGCUCCCCGCAGGGCCGCCCGGGCCGGUUUCAGGCGGGCUUGCGGCCCCAAUCACUGCUCCUGUUCGCGGGGACAGGCAGGGGCUGACUGGGAGGACGUCUUGUGGAUGGCCUUGUGCUCCUCGGCGGCCUCCUCCCCCGGGUCGCCACCGCCGACCUCCUCGAUG
rnacentral:lncRNA from 10 species